AGAGCUUGCUCUCUGGAUCAGUGGCGAACGGGUGAGUAACACGUGAGCAAUCUGCCCCUGACUCUGGGAUAAGCGCUGGAAACGGCGUCUAAUACCGGAUACGAGCUGCGAAGGCAUCUUCAGCAGCUGGAAAGAACUUCGGUCAGGGAUGAGCUCGCGGCCUAUCAGCUAGUUGGUGAGGUAAUGGCUCACCAAGGCGUCGACGGGUAGCCGGCCUGAGAGGGUGACCGGCCACACUGGGACUGAGACACGGCCCAGACUCCUACGGGAGGCAGCAGUGGGGAAUAUUGCACAAUGGGCGCAAGCCUGAUGCAGCAACGCCGCGUGAGGGACGACGGCCUUCGGGUUGUAAACCUCUUUUAGCAGGGAAGAAGCGAAAGUGACGGUACCUGCAGAAAAAGCACCGGCUAACUACGUGCCAGCAGCCGCGGUAAUACGUAGGGUGCAAGCGUUAUCCGGAAUUAUUGGGCGUAAAGAGCUCGUAGGCGGUUUGUCGCGUCUGCUGUGAAAACUGGGGGCUCAACCCCCAGCCUGCAGUGGGUACGGGCAGACUAGAGUGCGGUAGGGGAGAUUGGAAUUCCUGGUGUAGCGGUGGAAUGCGCAGAUAUCAGGAGGAACACCGAUGGCGAAGGCAGAUCUCUGGGCCGUAACUGACGCUGAGGAGCGAAAGGGUGGGGAGCAAACAGGCUUAGAUACCCUGGUAGUCCACCCCGUAAACGUUGGGAACUAGUUGUGGGGUCCAUUCCACGGAUUCCGUGACGCAGCUAACGCAUUAAGUUCCCCGCCUGGGGAGUACGGCCGCAAGGCUAAAACUCAAAGGAAUUGACGGGGACCCGCACAAGCGGCGGAGCAUGCGGAUUAAUUCGAUGCAACGCGAAGAACCUUACCAAGGCUUGACAUAUACG
rnacentral:rRNA from 1 species